AUGAAUGAAUGUAGAGUUGGUUGUAGCUGACCUCCUAGAGGUAUGUGCACGCCUACUCUUUCAUCCACACACCCCUGUGCACUUGUGAGACAGAGGCAUUUUUUCCUUUAAUUAGGGAAUGGGUCUCUGUCUACUAUCACAUAAAAUCUAAUUUAUUUAAAACUGAAUGUAAUUGAUGUAACGCAUCUAAUAC
rnacentral:misc_RNA from 1 species